rnacentral:sRNA from 1 species
AAACCCUUGCUCUGAAGUCACAGGCCUGACUUCCAGACUAGGCUCUGCCCCUAAGGAAAUCACCUUUCUGGUCUUAGUCUCCCCAUCUGAAAAUGGCAUAACCAACCUACCUGCCUCAAAUACAAGACCUUGCUUGUGAAGCGUCUCCUGGCUCAGACCAGUGCUAGAAGUGUCCAGUCUAGCAGCUCCUGGACCAAGACUCCGUGGCCAUUCCCUUCCUCCUCCCUUCCAUCCACCCCCUUACGAUACAGAAAUUGAGAUACAGAGAGGUGAAGGAACUUCUCUCAGGCCCUACAGCUAAUGCAAGACGAGAAACUGCAGGACGAGACAGAGCAGCCUGUGAGCAAAGUAAUUGAGCGGAACCGUCUGAGAACGGUGUUAAAAAACUUGUCACUCUUGAAGCUACUCAAGAGCUCGAACCGCCGGAUCCAAGAACUGCAUAAGCUGGCCAAAAGGUGUUGGCAUUCACUGCUCAGUGUUCCAAAGAUUCUCCGCAUCUCCUCUGGGGAAAACAGUGCCUGCAAUAAAGCAAAACAAAAUAAUGAAGAGUUCCAGGAGAUCGGGUGCUCCGAGAAGGAACUC